rnacentral:rRNA from 1 species
UACGAAGGGGGCGAGCGUUGUUCGGAUUUACUGGGCGUAAAGGGCGCGCAGGCGGCUUUGUUUGUCAGGCGUGAAAGCCCCGGGCUUAACCUGGGAACUGCGUUUGAUACGGCAGGGCUAGAGUUCGGGAGAGGAGAGUGGAAUUCCUGGUGUAGCGGUGAAAUGCGCAGAUAUCAGGAGGAACACCGGUGGCGAAGGCGGGUCUCUGGGCCGAUACUGACGCUGAGGAGCGAAAGCGUGGGGAGCGAACAGG